CUCUGUGACUCCUACGGGAGGCAGCAGUGGGAAUAUUGCACAAUGGGGAAACCCUGAUGCAGCCAUGCCGCGUGUGUGAAGAAGGCCUUCGGGUUGUAAAAGCACUUUCAGUAGGGAGGAAGGUAGUGUAGUUAACACCUGCAUUAUUUGACGUUACCUACAGAAGAAGCACCGGCUAACUCCGUGCCAGCAGCCGCGGUAAUACGGAGGGUGCGAGCGUUAAUCGGAAUUACUGGGCGUAAAAGCGCAUGCAGGCGGCCAAGUCAGUCAGAUGUGAAAAGCCCCGGCUUAAACCUGGGAAAUUGCAUUUGAAAACUGCUUGGCUAGAGUCCUUGAGAGGGGGUAGAAUUUCAGGUGUAGCGGUGAAAAUGCGUAGAGAUCUGAAGGAAUACCAGUGGCGAAGGCGGCCCCCUGGCAAGAGACUGACGCUCAGAUGCGAAAGCGUGGGGAGCAAACAGGAUUAGAUACCCUGGUAG
rnacentral:rRNA from 1 species